rnacentral:lncRNA from 1 species
UGGCUACUGGAGAAAAAUUAUAAAUGGUCCAACAACCGUGAUCCCACUGGCAAGUGGCAAAUCGUACACAGCCCCCCGGAUGAUAGGUCAGCAUGAGCGUGGCUCCAUAUGUAGGUCAGCCAAGAAAACACCGCAGCUCCAAGCUCUGUAUGUACUGACAAAUUGGACAAAUCAUUUGGAGCUACAUGUUUGCAAUGUACGUAGGAAUUUUUUGUAGGGUUUGCAAAGGAAUUUCAUAGAAUUUUCGUUUAAUUUCACAGGAAUAAGGUAGGGAAAGAAAAUAAAAGGAAAAAUCUCAUGUUCUAAACAUGAUGUUAAUAGUCUGUAGAAAUAGAUGAAUACUCUCUCGCGUGUUGCGGCGGAUUUGCAUUGCUCACCACUAUAUAGAGGAAAGAAAGAAAACAAAAUAAAAACUAUUUCUAAUAAGAUGAAAUCAAGUUUCAUGAAAUAUUUAAAGGUAUUCCAUAGUAUAUACGAUGGACCGUGACAUCAUUUUCUUAGAUAAUUUGAUGGGAACGAUGUACAUAAUCCUGAAGAUUUAAUAGUGCUACUUGACAUGAGUUAAGGAAAACCAAACUAAAUCUUUAAUAUUGC